GAGUUUGAUCCUGGCUCAGGAUGAACGCUGGCGGCGUGCCUAAUACAUGCAAGUCGAACGAGGGUUCCUUCGGGAACUCGAGUGGCGAACGGGUGAGUAACACGUAGGUAACCUACCUUUAAGUCUGGGAUACCCGGAGGAAACUCUGGCUAAUACCGGAUAUGAGCUUGGAAGGCAUCUUCCUUGCUUGAAAGGGGCUCUUGGCCUCGCUUUUAGAUGGACCUGCGGCGCAUUAGCUAGUUGGUGAGAUAAUAGCCCACCAAGGCGAGGAUGCGUAGCCGGCCUGAGAGGGUGAUCGGCCACACUGGAACUGAGACACGGUCCAGACUCCUACGGGAGGCAGCAGUAGGGAGUUUUCGGCAAUGGGCGAAAGCCUGACCGAGCAACGCCGCGUGAGUGAUGACGGUCCUUUGGAUUGUAAAGCUCUGUUGUGAGGAACGAAAAAUAAGAAGAGGAAAUGCUUUUUAUCUGACGGUACCUUACCAGAAAGCCACGGCUAACUACGUGCCAGCAGCCGCGGUAAUACGUAGGUGGCAAGCGUUAUCCGGAAUUAUUGGGCGUAAAGAGUGAGCAGGCGGCACCAUAAGUUGAAAGUCAAAUCGUAAGGCUCAACCUUACUUCGCUUUCAAAACUGUGGAGCUAGAGUGCGAGAGAGGUAAGUGGAAUUCCUAGUGUAGCGGUGGAAUGCGUAGAUAUUAGGAGGAACACCAGAGGCGAAGGCGGCUUACUGGCUCGUAACUGACGCUCAGUCACGAAAGCGUGGGUAGCAAAUAGGAUUAGAUACCCUAGUAGUCCACGCCGUAAACGAUGAGAACUAAUUGUUGCCGGAUGGCAGUGAUGAAGCUAACGCAUUAGUUCUCCGCCUGGGGAGUACGCCUCGCAAGAGUGAAACUUAAAGGAAUKGACGGGGGCCCGCACAAGUAGUGGAGCAUGUGGUUUAAUUCGAAGAUACGCGAAGAACCUUACCAGGGCUUGACAUAGAGCUAAAGGCUGUAGAAAUACGGAGAUAGUUAUAGCUCAUACAGGUGGUGCAUGGUUGUCGUCAGCUCGUGUCGUGAGAUGUUGGGUUAAGUCCCGCAACGAGCGCAACCCUUGUCCUUAGUUACCAUCAUUCAGUUGGGGACUCUAAGGAGACUGCCGGUGUUAAACCGGAGGAAGGUGGGGAUGACGUCAAAUCAUCAUGCCCUUUAUGUCCUGGGCGACACACGUGCUACAAUGGCCGGUACAAAGAGACGCCAGGUGGUGACACUGAGCAAAUCUCGGAAAGCCGGUCUCAGUUCGGAUUGGAGUCUGCAACUCGACUUCAUGAAGCUGGAAUUACUAGUAAUCGCAGAUCAGCCAUGCUGCGGUGAAUACGUUCCCGGGCCUUGUACACACCGCCCGUCAGACCAUGAGAGCUGGUAAUACUCGAAGCCGUUAUUCUAACCCGCAAGGGAGGGAGACGUCUAAGGUAGGACUAGUGAUUGGGGUUAAGUCGUAACAAGGUAACCA
rnacentral:rRNA from 1 species